GAUGAACGCUGGCAGCGUGCCUAACACAUGCAAGUCGAACGGGACUUGGAGGGCUUGCUCUCCAAGUUUAGUGGCGAACGGGUGAGUAACGCGUGAGAAACCUGCCUUUCAGUGGGGGACAACAGUUGGAAACGACUGCUAAUACCGCAUGGUGUAUCGAGAGGGCAUCCUUUUGAUACCAAAGCUUAAUGUGCUGAAAGAUGGUCUCGCGUCUGAUUAGCUAGUUGGUGGGGUAACGGCUCACCAAGGCGACGAUCAGUAGCCGGUCUGAGAGGAUGAACGGCCACAUUGGGACUGAGAUACGGCCCAGACUCCUACGGGAGGCAGCAGUGGGGAAUAUUGGGCAAUGGGGGAAACCCUGACCCAGCAACGCCGCGUGAAGGAAGAAGGCCUUCGGGUUGUAAACUUCUUUUAGCAGGGACGAAGGACGUGACGGUACCUGCAGAAAAAGCAACGGCUAACUACGUGCCAGCAGCCGCGGUAACAC
rnacentral:rRNA from 1 species